UACGUAGGGUGCAAGCGUUGUCCGGAUUUAUUGGGCGUAAAGAGCUCGUAGGCGGUUCGCUAAGUCGGGUGUGAAACCUCCAGGCUCAACCUGGAGACGCCACCUGAUACUGGUGUGACUAGAGUUCGGUAGGGGAGUGUGGAACUCCUGGUGUAGCGGUGAAAUGCGCAGAUAUCAGGAAGAACACCAGCGGCGAAGGCGGCACUCUGGGCCGGUACUGACGCUGAGGAGCGAAAGCGUGGGUAGCAAACAGG
rnacentral:rRNA from 1 species